rnacentral:rRNA from 1 species
UACGUAGGGACCGAGCGUUGUCCGGAAUCAUUGGGCGUAAAGAGCGUGUAGGCGGCUCGCUAAGUCUUGCGUGAAAUCUCGGGGCUCAACCCCGAGCGGUCGUGAGAAACUGGCGGGCUAGAGUGCGGGAGAGGAGAGUGGAAUUCCUGGUGUAGCGGUGAAAUUCGUAGAUAUUGGGAAGAACACCGGUGGCGAAGGCGGCUCACUGGCUCAUUUCUGACGCUCAGGCGCGACAGCGUGGGGAUCAAACAGG